UACGGAGGGUGCAAGCGUUAAUCGGAUUUACUGGGCGUAAAGCGCGCGUAGGUGGCCAAUUAAGUCAAAUGUGAAAUCCCCGAGCUUAACUUGGGAAUUGCAUUCGAUACUGGUUGGCUAGAGUAUGGGAGAGGAUGGUAGAAUUCCAGGUGUAGCGGUGAAAUGCGUAGAGAUCUGGAGGAAUACCGAUGGCGAAGGCAGCCAUCUGGCCUAAUACUGACACUGAGGUGCGAAAGCAUGGGGAGCAAACAGG
rnacentral:rRNA from 1 species